rnacentral:rRNA from 1 species
GACGAACGCUGGCGGCGUGCUUAACACAUGCCAGUCGAACGGUGAAGCGCCUUCCUUUUUGGUGGGUGUGGAUGAGUGGCGAACGGGUGAGUAACACGUGAGUAACCUGCCCCCUUCUUCUGGAUAACCGCAUGAAAGUGUGGCUAAUACGGGAUAUUCUGGGUCUGUCGCAUGAUGGGUCUGGGAAAGAUAUUGUUUCGGUGGGGGAUGGGCUCGCGGCCUAUCAGCUUGUUGGUGGGUGAUGGCCUACCAAGGCGGUGACGGGUAGCCGGCCUGAGAGGGUGGACGGUCACACUGGGACUGAGACACGGCCCAGACUCCUACGGGAGGCAGCAGUGGGGAAUAUUGCACAAUGGGCGCAAGCCUGAUGCAGCGACGCCGCGUGAGGGAUGGAGGCCUUCGGGUUGUGAACCUCUUUCGCCAGUGAAGCAGGCCUGCCUCGUUUGUGGGUGGGUUGACGGUAGCUGGAUAAGAAGCGCCGGCUAACUACGU